CAUUGUGCGACAGGCGUUAAUGAGACAAAAUAACAAAAAGAUUUACAAACCGCAAGAAUUACCUUUGAGAUAACUUUUUUCGAAGAACUUGUCAUAUGUGGCUGCAUAACGAAAUUGCUUGUACACGCAUCGAUAGUUGAUGAUAUCUUCAAUAGUGAGUACAUUAUCGUCGAGAAUGUGGCUUAUCAUCUCCUCUGUACAAGAAAUGCGUCUGCCGAUUACGAAGAGCACAGAUGUGUGUUUGAUGUACACGAGAGACGUUUUCCACACUGUAGACGUUCUGUUCUUUAUUAUAAAAUUUGACCUUAAAUUUUGAAGCAUUAUUGCUUGUUUUCACUAAGAUAUAGGUAUAAGAACUUGCCACGGCAUGCGCAGAAAAUGUAAUUUAGAACUAGCAAACCGUUUCUUCCUAUGCGUUUGAAAGAACGUGUUUAAAACUCCAGUGUUGUGCAUUGUCAAAAUUUCUUGAUAAGAGAGAAAGAGAAAAAGAGAGAUUUACUU